GAUUAAUCCGGCGUUAAUAUAGAUCCCGAUUAGCAGCUUCCCGGGAAAACCAAAGUUUUUCGUUUCCGGGGGAAGUAUGGUUGCAAAGCUGAAACUUAAAGGAAUUGACGGAAGGGCACCACCAGGAGUGGAGCCUGCGGCUUAAUUUGACUCAACACGGGAAAACUCACCCGGCCCGGACACCGUAAGGAUUGACAGACUGAGAGCUCUUUCUUAAUUCGGUGGGUGGUGGUGCAUGGCCGUUCUUAGUUGGUGGAGCGAUUUGUCUGGUUAAUUCCGAUAACGAACGAGACUCUGGCCUAUUAAAUAGACGAUAUAUUUAAAAGUAUAUCGCGCUUCUUAGAGGGACAAGCGGCGUCUAGCCGCAUGAAAUAGAGCAAUAACAGGUCUGUGAUGCCCUUAGAUGUCCGGGGCUGCACGCGCGCUACACUGAAAGAAUCAGUGUGCGUUACGCCUAGUUCGGAAGAACCGGGUAACCCAAGUAAAUUCUUUCGUGCUUGGGAUAGGGAAUUGCAAUUAUUUCCCUUAAACGAGGAAUUCCCAG
rnacentral:rRNA from 1 species